rnacentral:rRNA from 1 species
GGGCCCGCACAAGCAGCGGAGCAUGUGGUUUAAUUCGAAGCAACGCGAAGAACCUUACCAAGGCUUGACAUCCCACUAAACUCAUGGAAACAUGAGGUCCCUUCGGGGGAGUGGAGACAGGUGGUGCAUGGUUGUCGUCAGCUCGUGUCGUGAGAUGUUGGGUUAAGUCCCGCAACGAGCGCAACCCCUAUUGCCAGUUACCAGCGCGUUAUGGCGGGGACUCUGGUGAGACUGCCGGGGACAACUCGGAGGAAGGUGGGGACGACGUCAAAUCAUCAUGCCCCUUAUGUCUUGGGCUACACACGUGCUACAAUGGCCGCAACAGAGGGAAGCGAAGGCGCAAGUCGGAGCAAAUCUCAGAAAAGCGGUCCCAGUUCGGAUUGUGGGCUGCAACCCGCCCACAUGAAGUCGGAGUUGCUAGUAAUCGCGAAUCAGCAUGUCG